rnacentral:lncRNA from 1 species
CUGUGGGACCGGGGUCCUCAGUGGUGCCGAGAAGGUCACUCAGCUUCAUGGGGAGUUGAGAGGGUGCCGGCAGGGGCCAGCCAACCCCCAGCCCAGUCAGGCUGACCUCGUUUUAAAAGGGGAAAACAAAGACUAUUUGUGUAACUCAGGAUAUUUAUUAUUCAGCACUUAAUAGAUUCGAAGAUGAUGCUGGUGAUUAAAUAGCACAUUCAUUCAGAGCUUUUAUUCAUUUUGAAAUACUUCCCCGAAAUAUUUAAGGUGAGCUGGGCAGGUGCAUAUCUUCCCUGGACAGCGGACACAAGGCAGAGUGGGGCUCGGGGGCUUGUCCGGGGUCCUGCCCUGGACAGGGUCGUCCGUGGUGGACCCCGGCCCUGAAGCCCGUCACUUGUCUCCGGCCUCUGUUCUUGUGGCCCGUGAAGGUGGGGACUGCGGGUCUGCGGGGAGAGGAGACGAGGUGGGCGGCUCUCGGCCCUGCUCCUGCUCCUCCUGAGACUCGGGACCCUUGUCAGGGCCCUGCUCAGAGCACAGGCUUCAACCUUCCUCUGCCUGGAGGCAAGAGGGGUCCUGAGCCCACCAGGCGCCACCCUCGGUGGCUCACGGGCCAGCCAGCCGCGUCCCUGCUGCUGUGCCCCUUGGGGCUGGCACCUCGGUAUCAAAGUGAGCCUCGUCUUCCCGAAUACCAUGCCGGUUUCCUCCGUUGCCGCCGCUGCUGGGAGUUCCCCGCCUCCCCCCUGCCCCCAGCACUGGCUCUUUCCCCCAGCAGGGCCCCCAGGAGCUGCUGCUCUUCCCCCCACAGCAGUCCAGGACAGGAUGGGCCGGCCUUGUUCUGGGCCCGCCGUCUGGUUCCGUCUCAGGGCACGGUUAGUCCCCCUUGGACUUGGACCACGCGGCUGGCUGGCCGGGAGGACCCGAGAGCUUGGGUCUGCAUCCUGGCCACCCAGCCUUCUUUCUCCCCAGCCCCUGGGGGGCUUCGUGUGAGGAGGCAGGACACCUGCUGUGUGCGAAGCUGCCCCUAACGGUUUUAAUUUGUC